UAUUGCUAAUAUGUAACCGACUGUAAAUGCUGUUGUUGAUACAUAUCGUGGAAGGUUUCACUUAGAACCUAUUUUAGUAAAACUUGCUGCGUUCGUAAUGGAAAAUUAGGUAUUGCGUGUAGCGUUCCAUAGAUGCUUCAUAGGCUUAAUCCAAGGAUGUAGAAUAUGUUAUAGCACGAAUACAAUACAUGUUUCUAAUACAUAGUUAUGACGGUAAUUUACGGUUAUCUGCAGAAAUAAUUAAACAAGGAAGCAUCCACACUAUUACUCACAUGAAUUAAAUGUAGAAUGUGUAUGAAGACUUGUAAUGGUUUUUGAUGGGUAACGUGAUUUUUCAUUGAGUUUCAUUGGUGGUUAAUGGAACACAGUAUUUUGUCUGUUCUUUGUAUUAACAUGCAUAAAAUUCCUAUUAUAUUUUAUUGGUAUAGGAUUGUCAGUGUUAAAUGCUCUUCUUGUGGCAGUGAAACAUUAUUCAUGUGUUCAAGAAAUUCUCCUGUUUUGGAACCAGGAAAGCUGUUCAUAAAAUCUUGCUGUUAUAUAAAUGGGUCGAAGGAAUUAUUUAAGUUUCUGAUAGGUUUUGCUUUGGGAGAGGGAGGGAGCCCAAUUUUAACACAAAAACUGGUCACCUUGCACAUUCCACACCUGAAAACUAGAAGUAGAACAUGUAGCCGGCAGGUGUUCUACAAGAUUUAUUUAGAUGUUUGACUAUUAAAACUUUGAAAUAGCGGCCUCUUCCUAAUUCACAGAAGAAAUCAAGUUAUGGUAAUCGAUAGGAUUUUCUUAAUUUUAGAUUUCUCUUGCAAUUAAAUAUAUAAUUAUAAAUGCCAUCUGUCUGACCAGGUUUCAGGUAAACCGAUGUGUGGCUGUUGUUAUUAUUAAGAAAGUAACUGUCUUAAAAGAAGGAGUAAUUGUAUGCUGCCAUAAUGAAUUAUUAUUGUCUGCAUUCUGGAAUUUAUGUUUGAUAAUGUAUUCCUUCUCUUUGCCACAAUGACAUGUCCAUUUGAAGCCAUUUAAGUAAUAUCUGGACCCUUUUCUCAACUCUGAAAUUGAUAUCAUUCCAGUUUUGUUGAGUUAUUUAUGUGCAUUGCUUGUGAGAAGCUUAAUAUUUUUUGAUGUUGUUCUAGAUUCUGGAUGUGCUUUCACAUUCAAUGAUAGCAGUAAUUUUUUAUUUUAAUAGCAUAAUCAUCAUGCAAAAUGAAACUUUGUCAGAAGUAGUGUGUGUGUGUUGAAGUCUGGGUACAUAACCUGUCUCUAGUAGGGUAAUUCCUAUUUAUUACCUUAUUCAGAUAUAAAGUGGACCUUCAGUUAUCAUAUGUUGUAGUAUCAGAAAAUUAUGUUGAAUUUGGGUAGGUAAUCUCUAUUUAACUGAUUUAAUGCAUUUAAAAUGUUGUGGGGAAUAUGGGAAAAAUUAAUUUUGAAAAGGAUGCUGUGUUCAUGUCGGAGAAUUUAAAUAUGUUUAAGUAAUCUGAGUGUGGAGGAGAUACUGUCCUCAGAUCACGAGUAAAGCGGUGCUGGGAGAAGUUGUUUCUGGUGUGGUGCGGGGGAAUGUUUAGUACCUGGUGGACUAGAGGACUGCUAUUGGUAGGAAGUGUGACAUGCCAGAGUUUUAUGUUACUACACACAGACUGAAACCAUCAAGCAGUUUAGACUAGCGUGUAUUGAGUGUGUCUUUACUCUCUUAUGUGGGUGUUGUGAUAAUAUUCUAUAUUCAAUCACAGAUAUAAAGAUGUCAAGUGUAUGUAAACAGGGGAAAUCUAUUGACAGGGAAGUGCAGGAAGUAAUAUCCAGCGUAGUGAAAUUGUGUUGUGAGGAAGCAAGGCGGAAUAAGCUAAAAAUUUCCCUUGACCUGUGCAACAGACAGGGCAGCCAGAUACGCGGGUGUAUCUAAGUCCUUAAUUAAGAAGGUAAGGCGGGAGUCCAAAGGUUAGAUAGGAGAAGGGCACACUAUCACCUUCACACAUGCCAGGGAAACACCGGCCUAGACCUACUGAUAGGAUUGUCACCAUUGACUCCUUUGACAUGUCAGUGAUGAGGCGAACUGUGCAAGAAUUUUACGGAAUACAGAAGAAAGUACCGAGCAGCCCCAAGGUACUGCUCAUAAUUAACCAAAAAAUUUUCUUUCCAUGGGGUGUUGAUACUCUAUGGAAUAUUUUACAUAACUUAGGGUUUAAGUAAGCGCAAGUUCUUGAUUGAAAGGCCGGACAUAGUAAACUGGCAAGGGAGGUAUUUUGUGAAUAUUAAGACGCUUCGCAAUGAAGGAAGACAAAUAUUCUACUAAGAUGAAAGCUGGGUAGACAGCCAUUUAACUUUCAAAAAGUGCUGGCAAAGUACGGAAGUUAAAGGGGUAUGCUCUGAUGGAAAUGCUGGAAAAAGACUGAUUUUGGUUCACGCUGGAUCCCGUGCUGGUUUCCUUCAAGGUGCAGGACUGAUAUAUAAAGCUGGCUCCGCAAGUGGUGACUACCAUGGUCGGCUGAACAGUACAAAUUUUGAAAAGUGGGUUAGAGAGAAAAUGUUCCAGAAUUUGCCCCCCAGUUUAGUGGUAGUACUUGAUAACGCUCCAUACCACAGUGUACAAGCAGAUAAAACCCCAUCAAAAUAUUCUGUUAAAUGCGAAAUAAUCUCGUGUUUACAGCGGCACGGAGUUUUCUGUGAUCCAGCUAUGAGAAAAGGCCAACUUUAUGACCUAAUACUGACAAUGAAACCAAAAGAAAAAAUUUUCAAAAUUGAUCAGUUAUUAAAUGCCCAUGGCCACAUUGUGGUUAGGUCGCCUGCAUAUGUGUGUGACCUUAGCCCAAUGGAACUAGCAUGGUCUAGGUUAAAGAACUAUGUUUGCGAGAACAACGUGACAGGGUAUCUGUCUUUGAAGCGGCUGCUGGAUUUAACAGAAGGGAUUGCAACUGUGACUGCAAAGGAUUGGGAAGGAUACUGCCAACGUGUGGAACAACUGGAACAACAAUACUGGGGACAGGACGGGGUUGUUGUUGACGUGAUGGUCUCAAUAAUUAUUGCUAAUCCAAAUGACAGUAGCGAUGACAACGAGACUUCUUGUGAAGAUGUUGAGUCUGAAGAAGCAACUGACUUUUCUGACUCCAAGCUCGCUCGGCCACUGUGAGAGUUCCAUUAUGCUUGAGGCAAGGGCUUGAGCACUGCUGCGUGUUAUGUAAUGAGUGUGCAAUUGACAGGACGACAAUACACACCUUUAUUGGACUACCUGGAGAGAACAAAUGAUUCGUCUCCUUCUGCCAGUUUCUGGCAUCUACCAUCCUCUAGAUAAAAUUGAGGGAAAUCUUCAAUUAAAUCUCUCCAGAAAUACUAGAGAGGAAGGAGGUAACAACAUACAACACACAGUUACCCGAUUCCAGUUUUCGAUGGGUUAAAUGACUGCAACAACAAAAAAAUUUUGCGCAAAGUUCCAUUAUGCUGAAGACAAGGUCUUGAGCACUGCUGCGUGUUAUGUAUUGAUCGUAUGCAAUGGACAGGAGGGGCGGGUGCAGCAGCUUCAAAAAAAAAAUGACUGGGAGAUGCAUCGUGCGGUGCAUGAUGUUCAGGAGAAUCUGAAUAAAGUAAUGCUGUUUCCUGGAAAUUUUAAAAGACAGUUUGACACCGACCUGCAGGAUUAUGUGAGAAUAAUGACCUUCUCAGUACACAUCCUAUAUAUUCUAUUCAGAGCAAGCUGACGCUAAUUGGGCCAAGCCGUGAACAGUGUAUGCAGGAACUCAAGUGCAAUUUGUGUGAUCAUGCGAGUAUAAUGACCUUCCUAGUACACUUUUUUUUUACAUCCUGUAAGUAAUGUAAUAUUUUCAUUGCCCUUGUUUCUCGUUUCUUUUAAUAGCAUGGUGGCAUUAUUGUAACCUGAUUUUGAUUGAGAGUACCCUAGUUUACCUUCCACUAAUUGUAACACGAAGUCUUCAUUUGACUGUGCUUGACCACCCAAUCUAUUCGCCAGACCUCGCUCCCUGCGACUUCUCCUUCUUCCCAAAGAUGAAGUCGGUGCUCAAAGGAACCCAUUUUUGUCGGUAGAAGAUGUGAAAGCAAGAACGGCGGAAGUCCUCAACAGCCUUACAGAACAUGACCUGCGGAAUUGCUUUGAACGUUGGCAGCAGUGUGUCAACUCAGAAGGGAACUAUUUUGAAGGCGAUCGUAGUUGAUUUUCCGAAAUUGUUAAAUAAAAAGAGU